CCUACGGGGGGCAGCAGUGAGGAAUAUUGGUCAAUGGACGAGAGUCUGAACCAGCCAAGUAGCGUGAAGGAUGACUGCCCUAUGGGUUGUAAACUUCUUUUAUAUGGGAAUAAAACGUUCCACGUGUGGGAUUUUGUAUGUACCAUAUGAAUAAGGAUCGGCUAACUCCGUGCCAGCAGCCGCGGUAAUACGGAGGAUCCGAGCGUUAUCCGGAUUUAUUGGGUUUAAAGGGAGCGUAGGUGGAUUGUUAAGUCAGUUGUGAAAGUUUGCGGCUCAACCGUAAAAUUGCAGUUGAAACUGGCAGUCUUGAGUACAGUAGAGGUGGGCGGAAGUCGUGGUGGAGCGGUGAAAUGCUUAGAUAUCACGAAGAACUCCGAUUGCGAAGGCAGUUCACUGGACUGCAACUGACACUGAGGCUCGAAAGUGUGGGUAUCAAACAGGAUUAGAUACCCGGGUAGUC
rnacentral:rRNA from 1 species